GGCUUAGAGUUUGAUCAUGGCUCAGGACGAACGCUGGCGGCGUGCCUAACACAUGCAAGUCGAACGGGGAUAUUGAAUUUCGGUUUAGUAUCCAAGUGGCGCACGGGUGAGUAACGCGUGAACAACUUGACCUUAAGAGGGGGAUAACAUCGAGAAAUCGGUGCUAAUACCGCAUAAGACCACAACCUCGCAUGGGGAAGGGGUCAAAGGAGAGAUCCGCUUAAGGAGGGGUUCGCGUCCCAUUAGGUAGUUGGCGGGAUAACAGCCCACCAAGCCGACGAUGGGUAGCCGAGCUGAGAGGCUGAACGGCCACACUGGAACUGAGACACGGUCCAGACUCCUGCGGGAGGCAGCAGUGGGGAAUAUUGGGCAAUGGGCGGAAGCCUGACCCAGCAACGCCGCGUGAGGGAAGAAGGUUUUCGGAUUGUAAACCUCUGUCGCAGAAGACGAAGGAAGUGACGGUAUUCUGUGAGGAAGCCCCGGCUAACUACGUGCCAGCAGCCGCGGUAAUACGUAGGGGGCGAGCGUUGUCCGGAAUUACUGGGCGUAAAGGGUGCGUAGGCGGUUGCUUAAGUUGGAUGUGAAAUACCCGGGCUUAACUUGGGGGGUGCAUUCAAGACUGGGGAACUAGAGUACAGGAGAGGGAAGCG
rnacentral:rRNA from 1 species